GAAAUCUUCAGACACUGUGAAGGAACCAUCGUCCAGUUCGAGCAGGAGCUCUGUCGUCAGCGCAGACUGGAUGUCAUCUGGAAACCACAACUUCAGCCGGACUCUAUAGUGGAGCUUCUUCCCUACCACCUGGGCCCGCUUCAUCUUUAGCCAGACAGCUGCUCGAACUUCUUGGUCCGCUUUCUGAAGUCCCCCUGGAAGCGGAUCCCUGGGUCUUUGCAGGUUUGAGAUUUUUUUAGUGGUCUUCCAGAAAGCAUCUCUAUGGCGCCUCAUGAUGAACUGCUGGAUUACUUGGCGAUGUCUUCCUUCUUCCCUCCUCCUCAGUUGAUAUACAGUAUCCACCACCGUGUUCAUCAUGUGUGCCCCCUGCGGUGCAAUCUUGGAGAAAAUUCCAGUCAUAGUGUCUGAUCUUUUUUUUUUUACAGACCAUGAAUUUUCAAGUUCACCCCAUUUACAUCUCUCCAGGUCAGCAACAACUUUAUUCUUCAGUUCUUGGUUCUCCUUCACAAUUUGUAGCAUACAGUAUCUCUUUCCAUGGUUGCAAUCUCUGUCUUACAGUCCCUUAUCUUAGCAGCAUUCAUCUCAACCAGCCAGGAGAUGUUUGCAACCAUUGAAGAGUUUUCACACAGCUGACAUCCAAAAUACUCUAUUUUGGAAGUUAGCCUUUCAAUUGCAGCCAAAAUUGCAUUAUCUGAUCUGAAAGUAGACACCUGUCUCACUUUCACCUUUAAAGGUGGUCCAUUAGGUUUUUUAGGAGUUGUUUGUGGUUUCCUUUUAAUAUCGGGAGCGAUGUCCAUCUGUGGUCGCAUGGUUGACUGCUGCGGUGUAGCUUAUGCUAUUAAAGGAAAAUGAAGCUGUUUUCCUCCAAACAGAAAUGUAAACAAAGUGCAACUGUUUUUCAGCAGGGCUGUUCAGUCUCAGUAUUAAAGAUUUUAAAUUCUGACAUUUGCAACGAAAAAUGAGGCAAACAGCUAGAGCGUCAUUGGGUGUCAUGUGACAUACAACGUGACACACGUGCACCAAUAUUAUACUCAGAGUCUUGGUCGUCUUGCUGAGUGAACAAAUGACAAGGUUCAAGCAGGUACUCAAAGAAUAAAAAUGUUGCUUUCCGAACAUGAGUCCCCUUUCACAGGUUAGUAAUCACAUCUCAUUAGAGAGAAAUCAGACUGGGAAGCAUAAAGUGGGGACUAAAGUAGAUUCUAGCAUAUUAGUUUUGGUAGUCAAUAUAUAUUUUUAUUAAUGUUUGAUGUUUAUCACUUCAGAAGUAGAAAAACCUGCUGUUAUGUUGUCAGACUAAGAGGAGGUGGUCGCCGUUGACGUUUGUGAAUGUGUUCGGUAAAAGUUGUGCCAACUGGAGAGCUGGUGGACCGGUCGUUGCAGAAUAAAGUGGCUUCGGGAUCAGUAAGGAUGAUGGUGAUGUCGUGCGAUGGAAUUUGGCUAAUAGCCUGGUGGAUUUGGUCAAAGAAUGCAUCUUUAUUGGCAACAUUUGUAGGGGCAUAUGCAACUAUUAGUGUCACCUUGCCAUGUUUAUGUAGGAGGCGGGCAGAUUGUAUUCUGUCGCUCAGGGGUGUCCAGUUGAGAAGAGACAUCCUGAUGUCCUUUGGGAUGGCAAUUGCCACACCAUAAAGGCCUGUCAUUUUACCGAUACCUGACCAUUGUAAUUCACAGAGCCCUGCUAGAGUAAUGUUGUAGCGACGGAGCCCGUGGGAUAGCAAUGUGGUGGCUCCAAAGCAAAGAAGUGUCUGGAUAUUCCAGGUAGCAAUACAGGUUGUUUGACGAAGGCCAAAUAGUACUCUUUUGGUCAGGGGCAAGCUGAGGUCUGUUACCAUAUUGCCAUACUGUUACCAUAUACCAUAUUGUUUUCUGGAGAAGUUUCUCCUGGGUGGGUUGUUGGCCCUCGAAUAGUGGGGCUGCCACCUUAAAGCGUUCCGACAAGCUGCGGGCCUAUGUUUUUUCUGGAACCUCGUCAGGUGACCGGCCCGCUAAUGGUAGCCCAACAAAGGGGCAAGUUCCAGACCAUCUUGCUCCCUGGGUCAUCGGUUCACACAAGCCUCCUUGCCACGACAAGGCCAGACCCAUAAGAAGGUGAAGUUUUAGUGGAA